AACGAACGCUGGCGGCGCGCCUAAUACAUGCAAGUCGAGCGAGAAGGUGUAGCAAUACACUUGUAAAGCGGCGAACGGGUGAGGAAUACAUGGGUAACCUACCCUCGAGUGGGGAAUAACUAGCCGAAAGGUUAGCUAAUACCGCGUACGCUUCCGGGACUGCGGUUCCGGAAGGAAAGCGAUACUGUGAGUAUCGCGCUCUUGGAUGGGCUCAUGUCCUAUCAGCUUGUUGGUGAGGUAACGGCUCACCAAGGCUUCGACGGGUAGCUGGUCUGAGAGGACGAUCAGCCACACUGGCACUGCGACACGGGCCAGACUCCUACGGGGAGGCAGCAGUAAGGAAUAUUGCGCAAUGGACGACAGUCUGACGCAGCGACGCCGCGGUGGGGGACGAAGGUCUUCGGAUU
rnacentral:rRNA from 1 species